rnacentral:rRNA from 1 species
GCAUAAUCAUUUGCCUUUUAAUUGAAGGCUAGCAUAAACGGACCCACGAGACUUAUACUGUCUUCUUUAAUGACUUAAAAACUAUACUCCUAGUGAAGAUCCUAGGAUAACCUUGAAAGACAAGAAGACCCUAUAGAGUUUAAGUUGUAAAAUUUCCUUUACAACCUCCAACUUUGGUUGGGGCGACCAAGGAUUUAACACCAACAUCCUCCAAAAACAAAGAAACUUCUGCAUAACAAUCCCUAUAAAGGAAACGUAACUAACUACCUUAGGGAUAACAGGCUUAUCUUCCUAAAGAGCCCAAAUCGAAAGGAAGGUUUGGCACCUCGAUGUUGGCUUAGAGUAACCUAAUAAAGCAAAAAUUAUUAAGGUUAGUUUGUUCAACUAUUAAAUCUCU